rnacentral:rRNA from 1 species
UACGUAGGUGGCAAGCGUUGUCCGGAUUUAUUGGGUUUAAAGGGUGCGUAGGCGGUUUUGUAAGUCAGUGGUGAAAUAUGGCAGCUCAACUGUCAGGGUGCCAUUGAUACUGCGGAGCUUGAGUACAGAUGAGGUAGGCGGAAUUGACGGUGUAGCGGUGAAAUGCUUAGAUAUCGUCAAGAACACCGAUAGCGAAGGCAGCUUACUGGGCUGUAACUGACGCUGAGGCACGAAAGUGUGGGGAUCAAACAGG